rnacentral:rRNA from 1 species
ACACGUAAGGGGCGAGCGUUGUUCGGAAUUAUUGGGCGUAAAGGGCGCGUAGGCGGUUCUGCAAGCCCGGCGUGAAAAUCUGGAGCUUAACUCCGGAACUGCGUUGGGAACUGCGGGACUAGAGUCAUAGAAGGGGAGUUGGAAUUCCAGGUGUAGGGGUGAAAUCUGUAGAUAUCUGGAAGAACACCGGUGGCGAAGGCGAACUCCUGGCUGAUGACUGACGCUGAGGCGCGAAAGCGUGGGUAGC